rnacentral:lncRNA from 1 species
UGAUUCUCUAGAGUUAAGAACUACAAGGAACAGAAUUCUAGAGUGCAGUGUUCCCACAACAUGAUAGUUUAAUACUCAGUUUGAUCUUGACUAAUUCAUCGUGAUAAGUAAUUGCUUUUAUGUGGAAUAUGGGAAAGCAAAAUACUUCACCUGAAUAUUAUUCUAUUACUUGAUAUAUCUAAUAUCUUCUUGUCAUGAAUGAUCACAAAUACAUCUGCAGCAACUCAUGUUUUUUCUGGUGCUGGAUUGCAAUUGAGAUAAAAAUUACAGAACAAUUACAUGUUGGUUAGAGAUUAUUGUCAGUGAGUUCUUUCUGUUUUGGGCUUGAUAGUUGCCAUAGGUAUUCAAGACUUUACUUUCUAAAGGUCAAUAUAUCGAUCUGGUUUUGGUAUAACAUUAUUAUUCUUCAGAAUGAAUGGUUUCAGCAUGGUUUCCAUUAUAAAAACCCUUCUUAUAUCCUUGCAGCUCAUUUGCCAAGAACCCAUUAAGCAAACUAUGAAGCUAUCUUUUCAUUUCUUGCCAUCUUUCUCUUGUAGUUUUUCUUAAUUUUUGGUUUCAAUGUGCGCUUCUCCUGCCUCUCCACCAAAAGGUGGGGUUGAGAUGCCCAUCAUGUUUAGAAGGUGGAAAAAGGUAGCGCCGUUUGUCUUCUUCCAUGGAAUUGAUCCAGAACAUUGAUGUAAAAAGUGCUAUGAUCACAGGAAAAUAAUAGGACCGAAAUCCAAAGGCUUGACGAAGAAAGAAAGGCCGACUUUGUUAACAUGCUGAAAGGAUUUGUUACAAAUCAGGUACGUCCCUGAGCAACAAUAACUGCACUCUUCCUAGUGUGGCUCCAUAUCUCCGCCUUUUCAAAUGCAUCAUCUCAAUAACAUGUGCUGCUUCCUGAAAUUUGGCAAGUUUGAAAUACACGCUGCUGUCUAUCUAUAAAUCAUGUCUGGCAGGCAACUGAAACGACAGAGCUGAAUAGUACUACAGAAUAAGAGUUCAUGUAGAAGAACUGGUUUUUUCUUCUUAGUUGAAGAAAAUGCAUGAUCCUUCUCUCAACACCGAGACCUUAACUUUUGCCAUGGUCGUCGCAGGUUGCAUAUAGUGAGAAAAUUGGAAUUGAGUGGACCAAAGUGGCGGAGGAGACAAGCAGAUAUGCGAGGGAGAGCACGUAGAGGACUUGUGUAUAUUUUCGGAUUCUUCUUCAACCUUUUUGGUAUGAGCUUGUGAAGUAGCUAAGAGGAGUAAUGGUGCAUAAUAAACAUCAUACAGAAAGUUAGUCUUAAUUUUAUUUCUUCAUCGCUUAGACUGUUUUUCUGGUUUGUAAGAGGUUGUUUGUACAUCCUCACAACUUCGACUGUAAUGCUGUAACCAUUUUACUCCUAUUAUACAAAACAAUAUCUCAUACUUUCUCCAAUGUCAUUUGGUGAGCUAUUUCCAAUUUCUAUGGUGGAAAAAAUUGGAUGUUGAUUUUUCUCCUAUUUUUUAAUAACAAUAGUUAAGGAGUGUGACAUCGUUUCUAUCAUUACCUUACAUAAGUCAAAACGACGACGUGCAACCCCCUUAUUGUAAUUGUUUAAAAUGAUUGCAAUUUUCACUUAGCCAUCUCAAGUGGAAACUCAUUUAUCAUGUUGAAGAUUCUCCAGUAGAGUCUAAUUGCAUAAUUGAUGACCUCAUGAAAGAAUCUAAAAUUCGUGAUUUAAAAAAAAGAGUUAAUUGCAUCAAAAUAACUGACUUUUUCCUAAAAUCUUGUUUUUUGACAAUCGUUAUAAUUGUAGCAAAAAUUUCAACGAGCUUUCAAUUUAUUGCAAUGUCCGUCCGGAGAAAAUUUCCGGCCAAAUUAAAUCUGAGUUGGCAUUUCUAAUGCCAACGUGGCGUCAGAAAUGCCAAAUCACACCCCCUCCCCCUCCCACAUCGCCCCCACGUCGCCCUCUCUCUCUCUUCCCCAUCCCCCUUCCAAGUUCCCCAUCUCCCUGUCGGCUCUCACCCUCUCUCUCACUUCCUCCAGAUCUGCCACAACCGCCACACUAUCGGCUCUCACCUCCGUCGGACGCUUCUCCUUCCCCCAUCUCCCACCGAGAGAGAAAGGAAUCGAGCGGCGGCGGCGAGUUCGCCUCAGCCAAGAGAUCCCCUCUCUCUCACUUCCUCCACCGCCCUCACUGCGUACACUCCGCCGCCGGAAAACCUCGCGCGGUGGAGGUCCCAGAAAAGGUCGGUCCUCGCUCGUCGGCAAUGGGGGAUAGGGGAAGGGGAAGCGAGCAGACGGAGGUCCUAAAAAGGGGAUCUAGGGUUUCAUAGGAGGAAUGGGGAUGAAGUCUGCAGUGGUUUUGGGUGUUUGUCGUUGAGUUAGAGAGAUAGAGAGAGAGGCCGAGAGAGAGAAGCGAUGGAGGAUGGCUUNGUACUUGAAGUUUCAUAUGACUGUGUGCUUUACGAUUCCCAGCAUUUCGGAUCUUCCUGUCUAAUACUAGGUUUUAGUUGGAAGUCAUGUAUUUUCAUGGUUUUCUUUUACAAAUAUGGUGGUGCAUCAAGUGUCAUUUUAGUAUGUGUCUAUUGCCAUUUAUUUUAACGGAAUAAAUUUAAUUAUCUUACAGAUUUGAAUGAGAAAGAAGUUGGAAUCCUCUUUUUGACUCUGACAUUCCACUGUAGUUGUUUAUCCAUUUGUCCAACUAAAGAAUCUUUAAGAGAAACUUCUGCUACUAGCCAAUGCAAUCAUGUGUAUUACAUGUUCCUUUUUUAGGUUAAGUUAUUUUGAGUUGUGCUACUACACAUGAAAUUUCUAACUUGGAAUAACACACUGCCUUUAUUUCAGAGCUCCUUUUUUUAAAUACUAAAAAAUUUAUGGAGACCAUUUGAGGUUUAGAAUAUGUUUGUACUUAUCAUAUGGACUUUGAUUGCAGGAGAACUGUAGUUGCUUUCUGUUAUGACGCUUCACUUUAGCUGUUAGCUUAGAGAUCCACUACUUGUUUAAACUGUGGUCAUUGCAGACUUGCAGUUUUCCCUAUUUGCCUUCCUGUUAAUCAGAUAACGAACUUUCAUUGGAUAGUUAAAGUGACUUUGAAGGAUGAGAUGAUACUUCGUGAUUAUGGUAAAUCCUAACUUUGGUGCUUCAUUAGAGUGUUUGUACGUAAGCACUAUAUCCUUGUGGUUAUGGGCAUUCCAGGUUUAUGCUCUAUCAAGAGAUAAAGAUCUGUAGAAUGUUUUGCUGGAGAACUUCCAUGUCUACAGAUGUACAUUGACUUCUUGUGCAUUUUAGGUCUGAGUUUCCCUGAUUCUCUAGAGUUAAGAACUACAAGGAACAGAAUUCUAGAGUGCAGUGUUCCCACAACAUGAUAGUUUAAUACUCAGUUUGAUCUUGACUAAUUCAUCGUGAUAAGUAAUUGCUUUUAUGUGGAAUAUGGGAAAGCAAAAUACUUCACCUGAAUAUUAUUCUAUUACUUGAUAUAUCUAAUAUCUUCUUGUCAUGAAUGAUCACAAAUACAUCUGCAGCAACUCAUGUUUUUUCUGGUGCUGGAUUGCAAUUGAGAUAAAAAUUACAGAACAAUUACAUGUUGGCUAGAGAUUAUUGUCAGUGAGUUCUUUCUGUUUUGGGCUUGAUAGUUGCCAUAGGUAUUCAAGACUUUACUUCCUAAAGGUCAAGAUAUCGAUCUGGUUUUGGUAUAACAUUAUUAUUCUUCAGAAUGAAUGGUUUCAGCAUGGUUUCCAUUAUAAAAAUCCUUCUUAUAUCCUUGCAGCUCAUUUGCCAAGAACCCAUUAAGCAAACUAUGAAGCUAUCUUUUCAUUUCUUGC